CCUGGCUUAGGAUGAACGCUAGCGACAGGCUAACACAUGCAAGUCGAGGGGUAACAGGGUAGCAAUACCGCUGACGACCGGCGCACGGGUGAGUAACGCGUAUGCAACCUGCCUAUAACUGGGGAAUAGCUCCCUGAAAGGGGGAAUUAACACCGCAUAACACUAUUGAUUCGCAUGGAUUAGUAGUUAAAUGUAGCGAUACAGGUUAUGGAUGGGCAUGCGUGACAUUAGCUAGUUGGUGAGGUAACGGCUCACCAAGGCUACGAUGUCUAGGGGUUCUGAGAGGAAGGUCCCCCCACACUGGUACUGAGACACGGACCAGACUCCUACGGGAGGCAGCAGUGAGGAAUAUUGGUCAAUGGGCGCAAGCCUGAACCAGCCAUGUCGCGUGCAGGAAGAACCUGCCCUAUGGGUUGUAAACUGCUUUUAUAGUAGAAGAAACACAUCUACGUGUAGAUGUCUGCCAGUAUACUAUGAAUAAGCAUCGGCUAACUCCGUGCCAGCCGCGGC
rnacentral:rRNA from 1 species